rnacentral:rRNA from 1 species
UACAGAGGGGGCAAGCGUUGUUCGGAAUUACUGGGCGUAAAGGGCGCAUAGGCGGCCUGUUAAGUCGAACGUGAAAUCCCCGGGCUCAACCCGGGAACUGCGUCCGAUACUGGCAGGCUUGAAUCCGGGAGAGGGAUGCGGAAUUCCAGGUGUAGCGGUGAAAUGCGUAGAUAUCUGGAGGAACACCGGUGGCGAAGGCGGCAUCCUGGACCGGCAUUGACGCUGAGGCGCGAAAGCCAGGGGAGCAAACGGG